rnacentral:rRNA from 1 species
GCCAGCAGCCAUAUCACCCUGCAGCUCUCAACUGGCUACCCCCUGAAGUUAAGCAGGGUUGAGCCUGGUCAGUGGAGACCUGGAUGGGAGACCUCCUGGCAAGCUAUGGUUGCUACUGGAA